CAUGCAUGGGCGCAGCCUGAUGCAGCGACGCCGCGUGAGGGAUGACGGCCUUCGGGUUGUAAACCUCUUUCAGUAGGGAAGAAGCGAAAGUGACGGUACCUGCAGAAGAAGCGCCGGCUAACUACGUGCCAGCAGCCGCGGUAAUACGUAGGGCGCAAGCGUUAUCCGGAAUUAUUGGGCGUAAAGAGCUCGUAGGCGGUUUGUCGCGUCUGCCGUGAAAGUCCGGGGCUCAACUCCGGAUCUGCGGUGGGUACGGGCAGACUAGAGUGAUGUAGGGGAGACUGGAAUUCCUGGUGUAGCGGUGAAAUGCGCAGAUAUCAGGAGGAACACCGAUGGCGAAGGCAGGUCUCUGGGCAUUAACUGACGCUGAGGAGCGAAAGCAUGGGGAGCGAACAGGAUUAGAUACCCUGGUAGUCCAUGCCGUAAACGUUGGGCACUAGGUGUGGGGGACAUUCCACGUUUUCCGCGCCGUAGCUAACGCAUUAAGUGCCCCGCCUGGGGAGUACGGCCGCAAGGCUAAAACUCAAAUGAAAUUGACGGA
rnacentral:rRNA from 1 species